ACGCUCGACACCUACGUGAGGCAGCAGUAGGGAAUCUUCCACAAUGGACGCAAGUCUGAUGGAGCAACGCCGCGUGAGUGAAGAAGGUUUUCGGAUCGUAAAGCUCUGUUGUUGGUGAAGAAGGAUAGAGGUAGUAACUGGCCUUUAUUUGACGGUAAUCAACCAGAAAGUCACGGCUAACUACGUGCAGCAGCCGCGGUAAUCUGAGCGGGCUGGCAAGGC
rnacentral:rRNA from 1 species